GCAAUCUAUGAUGACAUUUGCAGUAGGCCCUUCUAUACCAUCUUAAAUGGGCUUCUGUCUCAGUUCUUUCAUUUUCUUUCAUUUUCCUCAGCCAUCAUCCCUGCAUCAUCCCAGCUCUCACAAGCUUCCUUCAACACCAGCCAGGGAGGGGAAACCUGUGAUGCAACCAAUUUCCUACGUCAGUGCCCUCUUACUACCAGCAGACGUUGCUAUCUCCUGCCCUUCAAUGCUGUGUACUAAAGAUGAACAGAGCAAAGUACAAAGAGAUCCUGUAUUAAAACCUGCUCAAGAACGCUCAGGACCUCAGACUGGGGUGAAGGUUCACCUUCCAACAGGACAAAGACCCUAGGCACACAGCCAAGACAAUGCAGGAGUGGCUUAGGGACAAGUCUGAAUGUCCUUGAGUGGCCCAGCCAGAGCCCAGACUUGAACCCGGUCGAACAUCUCUGAAGAGACCUGGAAAUAGCUGUGCAGCGACGCGCCCCAUCACAGAGCUUGAGAGGUUCUGCAGAGAAAAAUGGGAAAAACUGCCCAAAUACAGGUUUGCCAAGCUUGUAGCGUCAUAUCCAAGAAGACUCUAGGCUUUAAUCGCUGCCAAAUGUCCGUCACCAAAGUACUGAGUGAAGGGUCUGAAUACUUACACUACCGGUCAAAAGUUUUAGAACGCCUACUCAUUCAAGGGUUUUUCUUUAUUUGUACUAUUUUCUACAUUGUAGAAUAAUAGUGACGACAUCAAAACUAUGAAAUAACACAUAUGGAAUCAUGUAGUAACCAAAAAAGUGUUAAACAAAUCAAAAUAUAUUUUAUAUUUGAGAUUCUUCAAAUAGCCACUUUUUGCCAUAAUGACAGCUUUUCUUAAACUUUUGACCACUUUAAAAAUAUAUAUACAUUUGCAAAAAUGUAUAAGAACUUGCUGUUGCUUUGUCAUUAUGGUGUAUUAUGUGUAGAUUGAUGAGGGGGAAAAAUCAAUUUAAUCCAUUUUUGAAUAAGGCUGUAAUGUAACAAAAUGUGGAAAGUCAAGUCAAUUGGUCUGAAUACUUUCCGGAUGUACUGUAUACACACACAUUAAAAUAAAAAACACAGUCACGGGAAGCACAAAUACAACAUCACAAAUCAUUACAUUCCUCUACAAAUAAGUCCCCAAUGUUCUGACCGUAGUUUCUUUUUUUAUGUCUUUGUGUUAGGUUGGUCAGGGCGUGAGUUGGGGUGGGUUGUCUAUGUUCUUUUUUCUAGGUUAUAUUUUCUACGUGUUUGGCCUAGUAUGGUUCUCAAUCAGAGGCAUGUGUCGUUCGUUGUCUCUGAUUGAGAAUCAUGCUUAGGUAGCCUUUUCCCACAUGUGUUUUGGUGGGUGAUUAUUUUUCCAUGUCAGUGUUUGUUCCACACGGGACUGUGUCGGUUUUCAUUUAUUUCUCUUGUUCCUUUUGUUUUCUGUGUCCAGUGAUAUUUCAUUAAAAUACAUUAUGGA
rnacentral:lncRNA from 1 species